UCCUACGGGAGGCAGCAGUGGGGAAUCUUGCACAAUGGGGGAAACCCUGAUGCAGCGACGCCGCGUGAGCGAUGAAGCCCUUCGGGGUGUAAAGCUCAUUUCGGCAGGGAAGAUGAUGACGGUACCUGCAGAAGCAGCUGCGGCUAACUACGUGCCAGCAGCCGCGGUAAUACGUAGGCAGCAAGCGUUGUUCGGAGUUACUGGGCGUAAAGGGUGUGUAGGCGGUUUGGUAAGUCUGGUGUGAAAUCUCCCGGCUCAACUGGGAGGGUGCGCCGGAAACUGCCGGACUCGAGUGCGGGAGAGGAGAGUGGAAUUCCUGGUGUAGCGGUGAAAUGCGUAGAUAUCAGGAGGAACACCGGUGGUGUAGACGGCUCUCUGGACCGUAACUGAC
rnacentral:rRNA from 1 species